rnacentral:ribozyme from 1 species
GCUGCUCGUAAUAAUCACACACCUCUCCGUGGUGAGCAGCAGGCAACGUCUAUAUAGACGGCGGAGUUGCA